UGGGGGAUAUUGCACAAUGGGCGAAAGCCUGAUGCAGCGACGCCGCGUGGGGGAUGAAGGCCUUCGGGUUGUAAACUUCUUUUGCUCUGAACAAGGCGCACCAUGGGGUGUGUUGAGUGUAGGGGUUGAUUAGCGCCGGCUAACUACGUGCCAGCAGCCGCGGUAAUACGUAGGGCGCGAGCGUUGUCCGGAAUUAUUGGGCGUAAAGGGCUUGUAGGUGGCUGGUUGCGUCUGUCGUGAAAGCUCAUGGCUUAACUGUGGGUUUGCGGUGGGUACGGGCUGGCUUGAGUGCAGUAGGGGAGGCUGGAGUUCCUGGUGUAGCGGUGGAAUGCGCAGAUAUCAGGAGGAAUACCGGUGGCGAAGGCAGGUCUCUGGGCUGUUACUGACACUGAGGAGCGAAAGCAUGGGGAGCGAACAGG
rnacentral:rRNA from 1 species